CACAAUGUGAAAAAAGUCAUGGGGUCUGAAUACUUUCUGAAUCCACUAUUUCCCAUGCAAAUAAAGCUCCUUUGAUUUGAAUUGAGACGAGAAAUGAACAUCAACAUGACCUUUCAUGAUGUGAAGGGGAAGACAGGCUUAUCGUUGGUCAGAGGUCAAGCUGAGCUGGACCAAAAGUGGAAGAGUGCAAAUGAUUACUGGUUAUGAUCACUGCUCCUUUGAUUUGAAUUGAGACGAGAAAUGAACAUCAACAUGACCUUUCAUGAUGUGAAGGGGAAGACAGGCUUAUCGUUGGUCAGAGGUCAAGCUGAGCUGGACCAAAAGUGGAAGAGUGCAAAUGAUUACUGGUUAUGAUCACUGGUGAGAAGUCAGUUUUGAAAAUAUAUUCUGUGUACGUACAUCUCCC
rnacentral:lncRNA from 1 species